rnacentral:rRNA from 1 species
GACGAACGCUGGCGGCGCGCUUAACACAUGCAAGUCGAACGGAAAGGCCUGCUUUCCCUUGUGGAUUGCGGGUACUCGAGUGGCGAACGGGUGAGUAACACGUGAGUGAUCUGCCCCCAACUUGGGUAUAAGCCUGGGAAACUGGGUCUAAUUCCCGAUAGGACUGCAGGGUGGUGCCUGUGGUGGAAAACGAUUUUCUAGUGGUUGGGGAUGAGCUCGCGGCCUAUCAGCUUGUUGGUGGGGUAAUGGCCUACCAAGGCGGCGACGGGUAGCCGGCCUGAGAGGGUGGACGGCCACAUUGGGACUGGGAUACGGCCCAGACUCCUACGGGAGGCAGCAGUGGGGACUAUUGCACAAUGGGCGGAAGCCUGAUGCAGCGACGCCGCGUGGGGGAUGACGGCCUUCGGGUUGUAAACUCCUUUCGACCGCGAGGAAGCCACCUGGUUGGAAGGGUGGUGACGGUAGUGGUAGAAGAAGCACCGGCUAACUACGUG